AUUGAACGCUGGCGGCAGGCUUAACACAUACAAGUCGAGCGGGGUGAUGGUGCUUGCACUAUCACUUAGCGGCGGACGGGUGAGUAAUGCUUAGGAAUCUGCCUAUUAGUGGGGGACAACAUCUCGAAAGGGAUGCUAAUACCGCAUACGUCCUACGGGAGAAAGCAGUGGAUCACUUGUGACCUUGCGCUAAUAGAUGAGCCUAAGUCGGAUUAGCUAGUUGGUGGGGUAAAGGCCUACCAAGGCGACGAUCUGUAGCGGGUCUGAGAGGAUGAUCCGCACACUGGGACUGAGACACGGCCCAGACUCCUACGGGAGGCAGCAGUGGGGAAUUUUGGACAAUGGGCGAAAGCCUGAUCCAGCAAUGCCGCGUGUGUGAAGAAGGCCUUCGGGUUGUAAAGCACUUUUGUCCGGAAAGAAAUGGCUCUGGUUAAUACCUGGGGUCGAUGACGGUACCGGAAGAAUAAGGACCGGCUAACUACGUGCCAGCCGCCGCUGUAA
rnacentral:rRNA from 1 species